AUUGUCCUACUUAAUAACCAAGUAAUCUGGACCUAAAUCAUUCCUCAGCCUUCCUCCUCUCCCCACAAAACCCAAACUUUCCCCCAACGCCCUCUCUCAGAUCAUAGACACUCAGCGUGUCCCCACCCCUCCUCUGUCCCUCUCUGCUGUCACUGGCCUGCCCUACCCACCCGGAAGCUUCUUUCUCCCCCCAUCCCCCACCUAUCACUAGGCUGAGCCCCAGGCCUUGAGAUUUUGCUGCCUGGACUGUGUAUCUGGCCAAUGCUGAGAAUAGCAAACAAAGGAGCAACUGUGGGACUGACAGCUCAAGGACUCUGGCAUCGGGUCUGCCCUUGGCUGCCGCUCUCAGGACGUGCUGGCCAGGCUGGUCUUGCCGCAGGCCAUCCCACACAUCUCAAAAUGACAGAGGGUGUGACUGGCCCUGAGACGGCUCAGCAGGCACUGGAGAGAAGGGGCCUUCUCUGAGGAACAAAACAGACAGAAAUGGAAGCCCCCAGGCCACAGGCUUGGCAGCACUUGGCAUAAAAUGUAAUUUCUAAAAUCCUUAUAAGGAACAGAACUGGAAAAAGAAAUAAGAAAGAGAAAAGGAAGCAAGGAAGGAAGGGUGAGGAAAGCAAGUGGAAGGGGACAUUCUCUGCAUGGACGGGUGCGACAGUGACCAACAUGUACCCCUAUCACCCCUGCGCCCCUGUGACAGCUCUCUCCGGUUGCCAUGCGUCUUGAGAGCACUAUGAACACAGCACUGAACAAGAACAAGACAGAUGCAGUCCUGCCUAGAGGGAUCUUGCAGUCGGUGGGGAAGACAAGCAGCAGAGCAGUUACCGGCGGUGACAAUGAACAUCAUGGCCUGUGAGACUCAGGUUGAUGUGGGAGUGCAUAGCAGGGGGAGCCCACCUGGUAUCUGGGCCCCGGGGCCACCUGUGCACCGUCACCUUUGUCUAAACAGCAGCGACAGUGGACUCGAGGGCCAAAAAUACCUGUAUUCAAAUCUGGGCUGUCACUGACUGGUAGCAAGUUCUUAGAUUUAUUUAGCAUCUCUGUGCUUCAAUUUCCCCAUCUGUAAAAUGGGAACAAUAAUCCCUCUCUCACACAGUUAUUGUGAGGAUUAACUGAAAUAAUGCAUGGGGAGCUUCCAAGGCCAUGUCCGGUGUAUGGUAGAUGUUCAAUACAUGUUAUUUUUCUCCCCUUCCCUCCACCCACUUGCACCUUUCUUUGGAGAGCUACAAUGUCAGAAAGUUCUACCUAACCUGGCUCAUGCUAACAAGCACCAUUAUUUCCUUGCAUUACCUCGUAAUGAAACUCACAAUUCCUAAUCCAUCUACAGCCUUCUCAUCUAUAAAAUGAGGAUCGCCGUGGCAUCUAUGUUGUAGGGUAAUUUGAAAAUUACAUCUAAAGUGCUUAGAGUAGAUCUUGGCUCAGAGCACUGAAUAUGUGUGAGCUAAUAUUACCACUAGUAGUAGUGGUGGUGUUCCUUCCCUUCAGCAUCUGAAGACACAUACCAGGUGCCCCUGUGGAUUGGAAGGACCAUCCCAGUCCUUCAGCUGUUUCUCAAUAACGUGCUUUAACCCCCCAAUCUGCCUCCUGGGUGGCUCACUCCUGCACAGGUUCCAUUUGCUGCUUCCCUUUCUGCCGGGUGAUGCCCAGUGCUGGCCACAGCCUCUGAGUGUGGUCCGAUGUGGCAGAGAGCAGGGGCACCCGCCCCUCCCACACUCUGCUCUGCUCACUCUUUCUCAGGGUCACCCAUGGCCACAGCAGCUGCGCUCACAGCCACAUCACU